GGGGCUGGACACCCACUCGUGGCCACAGAGCGCAGCUUCUGGGCGAUGCUCCAACUCUGCCUCUCCAACUCCUCACCGAUACAGGCAUGUGUUUGAAAUUGAUCAAUGUUCCUCCAGUUCCUUUCACAGAGGCCAGGAAGCCUGUGAAUACACUUCACAGUCUCGGAAGUCUCAUUCUGAUCUUGGCUCACUGCAACCUCCACCUCCCGGGUUCAACUGAUUCUCCUGCCUCAGCCUCCCCAGUAGCUGGGAUUACUGACGCCACCGUGCCCGGCUAAUUUUGUAUUUAGAGACAGGGUUUCGCCAUAUUGGCCAGGCUGGUCUCGAACUCCUGAACUUGUGAUCCGCCUGCCUCGGCCUCUGGGAUUACAGACGGGAGCCAUCGCACCUGUGUGUGAAGGUUUUCUAACCUUCUAUCAGAUUUUCUAACCUCCGCAAGCCGCAGGAAGAGAGAGGUGUGCAGUGCUCCCGACUGAGGAAGCCAGCCCAGCCAAUGCAGAGCCAAGGGACCGCUGAAGGCAUCGUCACCGCUACACGCUUGGAGCCAUCCGUGCCUGCAGCCGUGUUGAAUGCCUUCUGCUUCUUUCCUACGCCAGCUUGAACUGGGUUACUUUUGCUUACAAAUGAAGUCCUCUAACUCAGGA